ACGAAAACACGCAAGUAGCGUCGACUGCUUCGUUGUGCCGUGCCGUUGUGCGUCAAGUCAUUCACGUGUCAGUGUCACCCUCUUACUAGUACUAGGAUGGCAGCUAUUACACAAUUUAACUGUGAUCCACAAUUCUGUCCACGUUGCGGUGCCAUAUUACCUAUCUUGGGAACCGCGGGUGGAGUCAUGUGUAUUGUUUGCAAGUUCGAGAUAGAUAUCCAAGUCAUGGAAGAAGUUCGAGUGGAUUACAACAUUGAUUUCAAUAAAAGAAGUGACUACAUUGAAGAACAACAGUUGAAGUCUGCCCAGAGCAAAACUGAUGGCCCACUUGUAGAGCGCAAGUGCAGCAAGUGUGGGAAUGAAACCAUGUCUUAUGCAUCACUUCAGUUGCGGUCUGCUGAUGAAGGCCAAACCAUUUUCUACACCUGCACCAAGUGCCAACACAAAGAAACCGAAAACUCUUGAGAAACUCAUUGUAUUGAAAAUAUAUAUCACUUAAUGGUAAUAAAAUUUGAACUUGAA